CCCUUUGCCCGGCAGGGGAAAUGCCAUGGUCAGCCAAGUGGUUCAUCUUUAAGAGUGAGGCUCAUCCAUUGCACCCCAGAUAUGCUGUUCUCUGUUAUUUCUCCUAAUGUGUAAAGCUCAGCUGCGUAACUUGCAGUAAUGAAGCAGAAGUUAAGGGGAAAAAUAGGUUUUA
rnacentral:snRNA from 10 species